CAGCAGCCGCGGUAAUACGGAGGGGGCUAGCGUUGUUCGGAAUUACUGGGCGUAAAGCGCACGUAGGCGGCUUGGUAAGUUAGAGGUGAAAGCCUGGAGCUCAACUCCAGAAUUGCCUUUAAGACUGCCGAGCUAGCAGGUGAGAGAGGUAAGCGGAAUUCCGAGUGUAGAGGUGAAAUUCGUAGAUAUUCGGAAGAACACCAGUGGCGAAGGCGGCUUACUGGCUCAUACUGGACGCUGAGGUGCGAAAGCGUGGGGAGCAAACAGGAUUAGAUACCCGAGUAGUCCCUGUCUCUUAUAC
rnacentral:rRNA from 1 species